rnacentral:rRNA from 1 species
CGGCGGACGGGUGAGUAAUGCCUAGGAAUCUGCCUGGUAGUGGGGGAUAACGUCCGGAAACGGACGCUAAUACCGCAUACGUCCUACGGGAGAAAGCAGGGGACCUUCGGGCCUUGCGCUAUCAGAUGAGCCUAGGUCGGAUUAGCUAGUUGGUGGGGUAAUGGCUCACCAAGGCGACGAUCCGUAACUGGUCUGAGAGGAUGAUCAGUCACACUGGAACUGAGACACGGUCCAUACUCCUACGGGAGGCAGCAGUGGGGAAUAUUGGACAAUGGGCGAAAGCCUGAUCCUGCCAUGCCGCGUGUGUGAAGAAGGUCUUCGGAUUGUAAAGCACUUUAAGUUGGGAGGAAGGGCAGUAAAUUAAUACUUU